GAUGAACGCUCGCUACAGGCUUAACACAUGCAAGUCGAGGGGAAACGCCAUCGAAAGCUUGCUUUUGAUGGGCGUCGACCGGCGCACGGGUGAGUAACGCGUAUCCAACCUGCCCAUCACUUGGGAAUAACCUUGCGAAAGUAAGACUAAUACCCAAUGAUAUCCCACGAAGGCAUCGGAAUGGGAUUAAAGAUUUAUCGGUGAUGGAUGGGGAUGCGUCUGAUUAGCUUGUUGGCGGGGUAACGGCCCACCAAGGCAACGAUCAGUAGGGGUUCUGAGAGGAAGGUCCCCCACAUUGGAACUGAGACACGGUCCAAACUCCUACGGGAGGCAGCAGUGAGGAAUAUUGGUCGAUGGGCGAGAGCCUGAACCAGCCAAGUAGCGUGCAGGAAGACGGCCCUAUGGGUUGUAAACUGCUUUUAUAAGGGAAUAAAGUGGGUCACGUGUGACUUUUUGCAUGUACCUUAUGAAUAAGGACCGGCUAAUUCCGUG
rnacentral:rRNA from 1 species